AGGGGACACAAGUCAAGAAGUGUUGAAAGUUAAUACUGGACCAGGUUGCAAUGAAACUUCGUUUAAGAUCAUCUCUUCGCAGAACAGGCAAAAAUGGCAAACAAUUUUGUUUUCAGCAGGAAGACCAGCCUGGAUUUAUAGUGCGACAUAUCAACAAAUUCAUUGGAAGUGGUGUUUUUGCAACGAAAAGGUUCUCAAGAAAUGACUUCCUUCUCGAGUACCGGGGAGAGCU